rnacentral:rRNA from 1 species
GCUCAACCGGGGAGGGUCAUUGGAAACUGGGGAACUUGAGUGCAGAAGAGGAGAGUGGAAUUCCACGUGUAGCGGUGAAAUGCGUAGAGAUGUGGAGGAACACCAGUGGCGAAGGCGACUCUCUGGUCUGUAACUGACGCUGAGGCGCGAAAGCGUGGGGAGCGAACAGGAUUAGAUACCCUGGUAGUCCACGCCGUAAACGAUGAGUGCUAAGUGUUAGAGGGUUUCCGCCCUUUAGUGCUGCAGCAAACGCAUUAAGCACUCCGCCUGGGGAGUACGGUCGCAAGACUGAAACUCAAAGGAAUUGACGGGGGCCCGCACAAGCGGUGGAGCAUGUGGUUUAAUUCGAAGCAACGCGAAGAACCUUACCAGGUCUUGACAUCCUCUGACAACCCUAGAGAUAGGGCUUCCCCUUCGGGGGCAGAGUGACAGGUGGUGCAUGGUUGUCGUCAGCUCGUGUCGUGAGAUGUUGGGUUAAGUCCCGCAACGAGCGCAACCCUUGAUCUUAGUUGCCAGCAUUCAGUUGGGCACUCUAAGGUGACUGCCGGUGACAAACCGGAUGAAGGUGGGGAUGACGUCAAAUCAUCAUGCCCCUUAUGACCUGCGCUACACACGUGCUACAAUGGGCAGAACAAAG